rnacentral:rRNA from 2 species
UACUGCAGUCGAGCGAACUGAUUAGAAGCUUGCUUCUAUGACGUUAGCGGCGGACGGGUGAGUAACACGUGGGCAACCUGCCUGUAAGACUGGGAUAACUUCGGGAAACCGAAGCUAAUACCGGAUAGGAUCUUCUCCUUCAUGGGAGAUGAUUGAAAGAUGGUUUCGGCUAUCACUUACAGAUGGGCCCGCGGUGCAUUAGCUAGUUGGUGAGGUAACGGCUCACCAAGGCAACGAUGCAUAGCCGACCUGAGAGGGUGAUCGGCCACACUGGGACUGAGACACGGCCCAGACUCCUACGGGAGGCAGCAGUAGGGAAUCUUCCGCAAUGGACGAAAGUCUGACGGAGCAACGCCGCGUGAGUGAUGAAGGCUUUCGGGUCGUAAAACUCUGUUGUUAGGGAAGAACAAGUACAAGAGUAACUGCUUGUACCUUGACGGUACCUAACCAGAAAGCCACGGCUAACUACGUGCCAGCAGCCGCGGUAAUACGUAGGUGGCAAGCGUUAUCCGGAAUUAUUGGGCGUAAAGCGCGCGCAGGCGGUUUCUUAAGUCUGAUGUGAAAGCCCACGGCUCAACCGUGGAGGGUCAUUGGAAACUGGGGAACUUGAGUGCAGAAGAGAAAAGCGGAAUUCCACGUGUAGCGGUGAAAUGCGUAGAGAUGUGGAGGAACACCAGUGGCGAAGGCGGCUUUUUGGUCUGUAACUGACGCUGAGGCGCGAAAGCGUGGGGAGCAAACAGGAUUAGAUACCCUGGUAGUCCACGCCGUAAACGAUGAGUGCUAAGUGUUAGAGGGUUUCCGCCCUUUAGUGCUGCAGCUAACGCAUUAAGCACUCCGCCUGGGGAGUACGGUCGCAAGACUGAACUCAAGGAAUUGACGGGGGCCCGCACAAGCGGUGGAGCAUGGUGGUUUAAUUCGAAGCAACGCGAAGAACCUUACCAGUCUUGACAUCCUCUGACACUCUAGAGAUAGAGCGUUCCCC